rnacentral:rRNA from 1 species
ACUCAAAGGAAUAGACGGGGGCCCGCACAAGCGGUGGAACAUGUGGUUCAAUUCGACGCAACGCGAAGAACCUUACCUGGGCUUGAACCGCUGGUGACCAACGGUAGAAAUAUCGUCUUCUCGCAAGAGACACCAGUAGAGGUGCUGCAUGGCUGUCGUCAGCUCGUGCCGUGAGGUGUUGGGUUAAGUCCCGCAACGAGCGCAACCCUUACUCUUAGUUGCCACCCGCAAGGGGGAACUCUAAGAGGACUGCUCCGGAUAACGGAGAGGAAGGUGGGGAUGACGUCAAGUCAGCACGGCCUUUAUGUCCAGGGCUACACACGUGUUACAAUGCAGCGUACAAACCGUUGCGAACCCGCGAGGGGGAGCUAAUCGGAGAAAACGUUGCUCAGUUCGGAUUGCAGUCUGCAACUCGACUGCAUGAAGCUGGAAUCGCUAGUAAUGGCGUAUCAGAACGACGCCGUGAAUACGUUCCCGGGCCUUGUACACACCGCCCGU